ensembl:lncRNA
CUUCCUCUUGGAGCCCUUCUGCAAGCCCAGGACACAGUUACAUGUCCUGGAGGAUGCUGUCUCCUCACCUCUCCUAGCUUGACACCAUCAUAACUCAGCAACCUGGGGUUACACAACUCCCAGUUGCAGGGUCCAUCCGACAAAUGAAGAAAACCUGUCUUUAAAACUCAUCUUCUGAUCUACUAAACUCAUCUACUGAUCUUUAGUAAAGCAAACGGCUUCAGCCUGAGAAUGCCGAUGUGAAGCAUUCUGAUAUUUAAGGAAGAAAAGAAGGAUGCCUAUUGUUUGCCUUGUCGUUGACUGACUCCAGCCCAGAACUGGGAGUUAUUUUGGUUUCCAUCCUUUUCCCAGGAGAUUUCAUUUUUU